GUAUCAGGAUUUUAUCAAAUAUAUCCUGCAUCUCUUUUCCGGUCACCAGAAAUAUGACGUGGCUCGCCGGAUGCCACAGUGUAAUUUAAAUUCUAUUUUUUUAAAUCCAUGUCAUUUUUUUAUUCUCUUUUCUUAAUCCAUUACAGAUGAACAUUCUGCUUCAUCCUAGACUUCGAUUCUUUCUUCUUCCUCGAAUUAAAACUCAGAAAAAAGGACAGAUGAACAUUCUGCAGUGUUGUGGAAAUGAUAUUCCUGUAUACGCAAAGGAGCAGCAGAUCCGGGCGAAGCAGCAGCAGAUCCGGGCGACGGCGUUGCUUCAGCAGCGGCGACCUCGACUCCGGGCGAAGCAGCAGCAGAUCCGGGCGGCGGCGUUGCUUCAGCAGCGGCGACCUCGACUCCGGGCGAAGCAGCAGCAGAUCCGGGCGAAGCAGCAGCAGAUCCGGGCGGCGCGGCGUUGCUUCAGCAGCGGCGACCUCGACUCCGGGCGAAGCAGCAGCAGAUCCGGGCGGCGGCGUUGCUUCAGCAGCGGCGACGUCGGGGUGACGGUGGUUCCAGGCGUGGUAGCGCGGCGCGACAGCGAUCGAGAGCGAGAGAGACGAGAGAUGUGUGUGGGUGUGUUUCAGCGAUGGAGAAGAAGAAGGGGCGUCGGCUCAAGCAGAGAGACGCCGGCGUGGAGGCGGACGGCGCCGGUUCGCGCCGAGCAUUCGCCGGCCUCAGGCGGCGGCGGCAGAACCGAGAGAAGGGAAGGAGAUGAGCUCCGUACUGGGUGUGUGGGUGAGUUUGGUAAAACCGUAAAAAAGAGAAUAAAAAAAUGAGAAUAAAAGAAUGACAUGGAUUAAAAAAAGAGAAUAAAAAAAUGACAUGGAUUUAAAAAAAUAGAAUUUAAAUUACACUGUGGCAUCCGGCGAGCCACGUCAUAUUUCUGGUGACCGGAAAAUAGAUGCGGGAUAUAUUUGAUAAAAUCCUGAUACUUUGAGGGUUUUGAGAGCAUUUCGAAAGUUUCAGGGUAUUUUUGAUAAAGCGGGUAUAAUUUAAGGUUUAAUAUGAUAUUUACCCAAUUAAAAAUGAUAGUCUUAAAUAUAUUUUAGUAGUAAUAUAAUUGGUAUAACAAUUGUAUAAUAAAAUAUUUUUAAAACUCAUUUAUUUUAGAGAUUAUACAAAAAUGUCUUCGAGAAUGUUACAAUAAAACUUUAACAACAUAUGUAAUCCCGUGCAUCGCACGGGUAAAACACUAGUUAUUAUUAAAAGUAAACUUCAGUAGUUUUUUUUUUUUUUCCCCCACACACGUCCGGAUUCCAACCAAAAUCUCAAUCGAUGACAUUAUUUUAAUUAUGAUUGGAUUUUACCAUAAUGUUUUCUUUUACGACUUUAAUGAAUAAGCCAGAUUGAGAAAACGUACAACCUUCUAAGCCGUCGGUUCAAUUCAUCUUGUGAGUAAUAUGCUCGUGAGUUUUUUUUUAUUUGUCUCGUGAACUUAGGGGAUUAGUAGGCUCUAUUUCAAAAGUUUUGGCAUCACACAUUUUUUGAGGCAACAUUGGGCAUUAUCUUGAAGCCAAAUAAAGGGCUAUUAUUUGAUUGAGUAAUUAAUAUAGUAGAGAUUACACGUGACAGAAGGAACGACAGCAUUCUAUAUGCUGUAUAAGUGUGACAUAAAAUUCGAUUAUAUAAAACAUGUGAUAGAGACAUUUUUUCCCCUUACAUUUUAUAAACGAUGAAGAAGUAUAUAUAUAAUUCACACAUUUAUACAUAGAAUUUAGUAUUUUUUUUUUUUUCAAAAGUGUUUAUAGCCUAGUCUCUCCCGGCCUAUAUUACAUCAGUUUACUUUGAUAAUACGAGCUUCUGACAAAUUUAACUCAAUAUAUAAAUCACUAAUACAUUAUUCGAGGAUCGGAUUUGUGCGAGUUGUGGUUUGAAAGUGAUUUUUGGCCACAAUUCGACGAUAAUUCGAGAUGACAUGGGUUGCUAACAUGAAUAAAACGGCAUUGUUUCGUGAUUGAGAUUAAUGCACUAGUAUAAUAUAAUAAUUCGAUGCUGUUAUAGCUUAAUAAACUAUCAUGUUCGCAAAAAUAAUGUCGCUUUGUCCUGCUGGCAAUCGCGUGUCAUCUUCGAUUGCUAGUUUUAAUUUUCGUCGACCUAAAUCGACACAAAUCUAAUAGAUUGAACUUGGAUAAUUUACUAAUGAUUUAUUAAACUAAGCCCACGUUUGGUUGGGUGUUUUUAGAGGUUGGAAAGGGAAUCAAGUAAUUGAAUCCAUUACUUGUUGUUUGGUUUGGGUAAUGGGAUAAUCAUUACCCUUACUUGAAGGUAACACAAUCACCCAAUUUGUUACCCCUCAAAAUAGAGGGGAAACAAAAGAAAGGGAAUCCCUUACUAAUGAUUCAUUUCCAUUGUUAAACCAAACACUCAAUAAAAGUAAUGGUUAUUGUUACCAUUCCACUCCUUUAUUUGAUUCCAUUCCCUUUCCAUUCCUCUACUUGAACCAAACGAGCACUAAAACUCAAAUUAACCAAAGCAAUUAAUAUUACCAUGCUACACCCAUGAUUUUUCCCAUUUUAUUUUGGCUACAAACGCACGCCUUAAUAAAGAAAAAACUAAAACGCAACACUUCAAUAUUAGUUACUUGAAUUGUAAGUUUGUAAGUUGUAACCAAACUCAAUUAUAAGUGUAAACUAAUCAUGAGAAUAUUUCAAUUCUAUAAUAAAUAAAUAAAAAAGAUCAAUUUUUUUACAUCAAUACAAUCUGUGGAAUAUUGUGAAAAUUUGAUUUCUUGAACACAUGUUGCUAAGACAAGUAGUACCAGCUGUCAUUCCACAUUCUACGGAAUUGAAACCCUUAAAAAAUUGUCACAUUUUAUCGUAUCCACUAAUGUUUUUAUUCUAAUAACAGAUUAGGCUGUAUUUUUUUAUUUUUUUUACAUUCAUUAUUUCUAAAAUCUAUUAUUUUGUUUUUGUUGGUGUCGUUUAUAGAUUUCUGAUUAGCAGGUACCUAUAGGUACAAAACUCUGAAAAAAAUUCAUCAAUCAUAUCGUUUAACUAUUUGUACAUGAAUAUAUAUGAUUCGUUGAAAUUAAGCUUUACGAAAAAGUUAAAAGAAAUAAAAUUGAACGUAGUAAAAGUUCGAAAAUGUAUAAAUGUGAGAUUUGGGGCUUCCAUGUCGGCUUCAAAUCAGACUAAAGUGAAAAGAAAUAAAAAUGGUAGUAUUAAAGAUAAAUUGGAAAAAAACAAUAGUAAUAUUUUUAAGGGUAAAAAACAUCAUCCGGUGCCAACACUACAACGAAAUGUAUCGUAGUGACACAAUUUUAGUGAUAUUAAAAAUUGUGUCAUAAAAUUUAUUACAUCUUUAAAUAUAAAAAAGUUUAGCUACACCAACACAUGCAUCUAUAUAUUUUAGUUACACAUAAAAAUAUAAGUAAAUUUUUUGGCAUUUAAAAAUUUAACAAAUUUUGCGACAUUUAUACGUGUGACAAAUCUUAUGACAUCCAAAACUAUCAUAAAAUAUUUUUGUUACAUGUAGGUGUUACAAUAUAUUUUUGCUCUCUCCCCCGUGUGUGUGAAUGUAUCACGCGCUCACAAAUAUUAUUAUACUCACUUUUAAAUAUUAAUAAANGCAAAGGAGACAGCAGAUCCGGGCGGCGCGGCGUUGCUUCAGCAGCGGCGACCUCGACUCCCGGGGCGAAGCAGCAGCAGAUCCGGGCGGCGCGGCGUUGCUUCAGCAGCGGCGACCUCGACUCCGGGCGAAGCAGCAGCAGAUCCGGGCGAAGCAGCAGCAGAUCCGGGCGGCGGCGUUGCUUCAGCAGCGGCGACGUCGGGGUGACGGUGGUUCCAGGCGUGGUAGCGCGGCGCGACAGCGAUCGAGAGCGAGAGAGACGAGAGAUGUGUGUGGGUGUGUUUCAGCGAUGGAGAAGAAGAAGGGGCGUCGGCUCAAGCAGAGAGACGCCGGCGUGGAGGCGGACGGCGCCGGUUCGCGCCGAGCAUUCGCCGGCCUCAGGCGGCGGCGGCAGAACCGAGAGAAGGGAAGGAGAUGAGCUCCGUACUGGGUGUGUGGGUGAGU
rnacentral:lncRNA from 1 species